rnacentral:misc_RNA from 1 species
GUAGGAGCCGGCUUGCUGGCGAUGGCGGUUUGUCAGGCGAUAUCUGUGUUGGCCUUGUGUCCGCUAUCGCCAGCAAGCCGGCUCCUAC